UCCUCUCACGUUUGCGUACUUGUUCUACAUCGUCCUUCUUACACAUUUGUUGCCACCUGUGUCUACUAUACUAGAAGGAGCCAUGUGGCUCAAAAACGCGGUGAUGCAAAUCUUCCUUGUCCGUGGAGUUGGCAUUCAAUAAAAAAGGACAAUAAAGUGAUCACCCCAGGUGCAAAAAAUCAUGCUAGAGCUAAAGGGCAAGAAGACAAUUCUAAAGACAUUGAUGACCUGAAGCUUCAAGAUUUUCUUCAGGUCAUGCAACCUCGCGCAAAGUCUAAGCUGUGGGCAAACGAAACUACAGUUGUAUCCAAUGAUGGUAACAACCAAGCAACAUUGAAUAAGGAGACCAACGGUACAUCAAUUGCAAACUAUCCUAUCUUAAGUGACAGACAAGUAGUUGGAUUACCAAAUAAUCCCGAAUCUGACAAGUCACGUGAGCUUAAUCAUGAUGGAGUGAUGUCUGAUAUUGAUUAUUUCAAGAAUAAAGUGACAACAGAUUGGUCCGAUUCUGAAAGCAGUGAUGAUGGAAAUGACAAUGUCACGAGUGAUUCAGAAUUUGCUGUCCAUGAUGACAAAGAUAACCGUAGCCCAGCUAGUGAAUGUGAAGAAAAUUGUGGUAAUAACCCUUCCGAAGUGGUGCCCAAGAGUUAGAUCUAGAGGGCCAAGAAGAUAUUUUCGGAGAGGAUGUUGCCAAUGAUAAGUCUCAAGGGACUGCAACCGAGGAAGAGGAGAAAUUAUCAAAUCCAGAAGUUAAGAAAGAAGUUCCUGAGUCGUGUCGACUGUUUGGAGGAAGAACUGGAAGAGUAUUUCAGUCAGUUUGGAAGUGUCUCACAGGUUCAUUUAGUUGUUGAUAAGGAAACAAAACGAUCCAAAGGAAUAGCUUAUAUUCAUUUCUCAGUUCCAGAUUUUGCAGCCAGGGCGUUAGAAGAGUCGGACAAUUCAAUCAAUGGACAACGUUCAAACAAUGAAGAGAAAAUUGUUUCCAAGGAACAAAAACUCUCAAACAACGAAGAGAAGAAGAAAGGAAAGUAGCCGAAGCUAGUGGAGAUACCAGAGCAUGGAAUAGCCUGUUCAUGCGCCCUGAUACAAUUGUAGAAAAUGUUGCUCGGAAAUAUGGUGUUAGUAAAAGUGAUUUACUGGAUCGAGAAGCUGAUGAUCUUGCUGUACGUAUUGCUCUGGGAGAAACACAAGUGAUUUCAGAAACAAAAACGCAUUUAAAAAAGCUGGAGUGAAUGUGGAAGCUUUGGAGGAGCUUGCGAAGGGUAAAGUUGAUGGCUUGAAAAGAAGUAACCAUGUAAUUUUAGCGUAGAACUUGCCUUAUGGUGCCACCGAAAAUGAACUUGCAAAGAUUUUGGGGAAAUUUGGUAGUUUGGAUAAAAUAAUUCUCGCCUCGACAAAAACAUUGGCCUUGGUUGUUUUCCUUGAACCAACAGAAGCUAAAGCUGAUUUUACAGGUUUAGCUUACAAGCGUUACAAGGAUGCUCCCAAUUGUAUGGCAGACAUCUUG